rnacentral:misc_RNA from 1 species
AACAAGGCGUACCUGCGGACCUGCGGAAGGAUCAUUAACGAGUUAGGGUCGUUCUGGCCCGAACUUCCAACCCCUUGUUUAUCACACCAUGUUGCUUUGGUAGGCCCGCUCUCUUAGGGGGGCCGCCGGAGGUUAUCCUACCUCUAGCCCGUGCCUGCCAGUAGCCUUAUUAAAUUCUUAACUGUCGUCUGAGUGGUAUUUUCAAAUCAUUUAAAACUUUCAACAACGGAUCUCAGAUCG